AAGCGAGAGAACGUUGCGCCAGCAACGGCCCGCAGGGCGAGCCACGAAGUGGCGAGUAAUCCUCUAUCACCGACCA
rnacentral:sRNA from 2 species